rnacentral:ncRNA from 1 species
UUCUUCGGGGCGGGGUUUAUUUCCCCACCGACGGUUAAAGUCCGUGAACGGAAAGUAUUUUCCGCCGAUUCGGUGAAAUUCCGAAACCGACAGUAAAGUCUGGAUGAGAGAAGAA